rnacentral:rRNA from 1 species
GUGGGGAAUAUUGGACAAUGGGCGAAAGCCUGAUCCAGCCAUGCCGCGUGUGUGAAGAAGGUCUUCGGAUUGUAAAGCACUUUAAGUUGGGAGGAAGGGCAGUAAGUUAAUACCUUGCUGUUUUGACGUUACCGACAGAAUAAGCACCGGCUAACUUCGUGCCAGCAGCCGCGGUAAUACGAAGGGUGCAAGCGUUAAUCGGAAUUACUGGGCGUAAAGCGCGCGUAGGUGGUUUUGUAAGUUGGAGGUGAAAUCACCGGGCUCAACCUGGGAACUUCCUCCAAAACUGCAUGACUAGAGUACGGUAGAGGGUAGUGGAAUUUCCUGUGUAGCGGUGAAAUGCGUAGAUAUAGGAAGGAACACCAGUGGCGAAGGCGACUACCUGGACUGAUACUGACACUGAGGUGCGAAAGCGUGGGGAGCAAACAGGAUUAGAUACCCCAGUAGUCC